rnacentral:rRNA from 1 species
GCUUAGCAUAUCAAUAAGCGGAGGAAAAGAAACCAACAGGGAUUGCCCUAGUAACGGCGAGUGAAGCGGCAACAGCUCAAAUUUGAAAGCUGGCUUAGGCCCGCAUUGUAAUUUGCAGAGGAUGCUUCUGGCGAGGUGCCUUCCGAGUUCCCUGGAACGGGACGCCAUAGAGGGUGAGAGCCCCGUAUGGAUGGACACCAGACCUGUGUGAAGCUCCUUCAACGAGUCGAGUAGUUUGGGAAUGCUGCUCUAAAUGGGAGGUAAAUCUCUUCUAAAGCUAAAUACCGGCCAGAGACCGAUAGCGCACAAGUAGAGUGAUCGAAAGAUGAAAAGCACCUUGAAAAGGGGGUUAAACAGUACGUGAAAUUGUUGAAAGGGAAGCGCUUGUGACCAGACUUGCGCCGGGCAGCUCAUCAGGGGUUCUCCCCUGUGCACUCUGCCCGGCUCAGGCCAGCAUCGGUUCUCGUGGGAGGAUAAGAACGGUAGGAACGUGGCCCCCUUUCGGGGGGGUGUUAUAGCCUGCCGUACGAUACUCCCGUGGGGACCGAGGUUCGCGCUCCGCAAGGAUGCUGGCGUAAUGGUCAUCAGCGACCCGUCUUGAAACACGGACCAAGGAGUCGUCCAUUAGAGCGAGCGUUUGGGUGUAAAACCCGCACGCGUAAUGAAAGUGAACGCAGGUGAGAGCUUCGGCGCAUCAUCGACCGAUCCUGAUGUCUUCGGAUGGAUUUGAGUAAGAGUUUUAACGGACGGACCCGAAAGACAGUGAACUAUGCUUGUAUAGGGUGAAGCCAGAGGAAACUCUGGUGGAGGCUCGCAGCGGUUCUGACGUGCAAAUCGAUCGUCAAAUAUGAGCAUGGGGGCGAAAGACUAAUCGAA